AGAUUGAACGCUGGCGGCAGGCCUAACACAUGCAAGUCGAGCGGUAGAGAGGUGCUUGCACCUCUUGAGAGCGGCGGACGGGUGAGUAAUGCCUAGGAAUCUGCCUAGUGGUGGGGGAUAACGUUCGGAAACGGACGCUAAUACCGCAUACGUCCUACGGGAGAAAGCGGGGGACCUUCGGGCCUCGCGCCAUUAGAUGAGCCUAGGUCGGAUUAGCUAGUUGGUGAGGUAAUGGCUCACCAAGGCGACGAUCCGUAACUGGUCUGAGAGGAUGAUCAGUCACACUGGAACUGAGACACGGUCCAGACUCCUACGGGAGGCAGCAGUGGGGAAUAUUGGACAAUGGGCGAAAGCCUGAUCCAGCCAUGCCGCGUGUGUGAAGAAGGUCUUCGGAUUGUAAAGCACCUUAAGUUGGAGGAAGGUUGUAACUUAAUACGUUGCAACUUUGACGUUACCGACAGAAUAAGCACCGGCUAACUCGUGCCAGCAGCCG
rnacentral:rRNA from 1 species